GUCCUUGUUGAUGGCCUCAGGAAUGUUAAGACCCUUGGUCCAACGAAGCAAGUAGCUCUCGGUGAUGGAAACUUGGUUGGCGGGAUAAGAAAAGGUGAAACCCAUAGGAAGGUAUUCCUCCUCAGGGCAGCCAAACUUGGAAGGGAAGUGCUCCUUGAUGAAAAGCUCAACAUGGUCACUCAUAAAGUCAAUGAUGGGCUUAACAGACUCGUUACGAACGCAUUCACGGGGCAAGACGGACUUGCUGUGCUUCAUCUCAUACUUGCCGUCACCGAGAAGUUGGAUCCAACAAACACGCAAGUUGGUACCACCAAAGUCAAGGGCCAAGAAGUCACCAGUUUCAGCGCCGGUGGGAAGGGUAGAGAUAAAGGCAGGAGCCAUAGCAAGCACCUCACCAUUCUUUUGUAAACCCUUUUGACGUAAUUCGUCAAACUCCUUAACGGCCUCUCUCAAGGACUCGGUAGGGUAU